CCUACGGGUGGCAGCAGUGAGGAAUAUUGGUCAAUGGACGAGAGUCUGAACCAGCCAAGUCGCGUGAAGGAUGACUGCCCUAUGGGUUGUAAACUUCUUUUAUAAAGGAAUAAAACGAGGCACGUAUGCCUUUUUGCAUGUACUUUAUGAAUAAGGAUCGGAUAACUCCGUGCCAGCAGCCGCGGUAAUACGGAGGAUCCGAGCGUUAUCCGGAUUUAAUGGGUUUAAAGGGAGCGUAGAUGGGUUGUUAAGUCAGUUGUGAAAGCUUGCGGCUCAACCGUAAAAUUGCAAUUGAUACUGGCAGGCUUGAGUACAGUUGAGGUAAGCGGAAUUCGUGGUGUAGCGGUGAAAUGCUUAGAUAUCACGAAGAACCCCGAUGGCGAAGGCAGCUUACUAAACUGUGACUGACAUUGAUGCUCGAAAGUGUGGGUAUCAAACAGGAUUAGAUACCCCUGUAGUC
rnacentral:rRNA from 1 species